rnacentral:tRNA from 1 species
GGAGAGGUGGCUGAGCGGCUGAAAGCGGUGGGUUGCUAACCCAUUGAGGGGGUUUUUACCCCCUCCCCGGGUUCGAAUCCCGGCCUCUCCGCCA